rnacentral:rRNA from 1 species
UACGAAGGGGGCUAGCGUUGCUCGGAAUCACUGGGCGUAAAGCGCACGUAGGCGGCUUUCUAAGUCAGGGGUGAAAUCCUGGAGCUCAACUCCAGAACUGCCUUUGAUACUGGAGAGCUCGAGUCCGGAAGAGGUGAGUGGAACUCCGAGUGUAGAGGUGAAAUUCGUAGAUAUUCGGAGGAACACCAGUGGCGAAGGCGGCUUACUGGUCCAUUACUGACGCUGAGGUGCGAAAGCGUGGGGAGCAAACAGG